CAGCCGCCACGGGAAUACGUAGGGCGCAAGCGUUGUCCGGAAUUAUUGGGCGUAAAGAGCUCGUAGGCGGUCUGUCGCGUCUGGUGUGAAAUCCCGAGGCUCAACCUCGGGCUUGCAUCGGGUACGGGCAGACUAGAGUGCGGUAGGGGAGACUGGAAUUCCUGGUGUAGCGGUGGAAUGCGCAGAUAUCAGGAGGAACACCGAUGGCGAAGGCAGGUCUCUGGGCCGCAACUGACGCUGAGGAGCGAAAGCAUGGGGAGCGAACAGGAUUAGAUACCCGGGUAGUCCCUGUCUCUUAUAC
rnacentral:rRNA from 1 species